UACAUAGGGGGCAAGCGUUGUCCGGAUUCAUUGGGCGUAAAGAGCUCGUAGGCGGCUUGUCACGUCGGAUGUGAAAGCCCGGGGCUUAACUCCGGGUCUGCAUUCGAUACGGGCUAGCUAGAGUGUGGUAGGGGAGAUCGGAAUUCCUGGUGUAGCGGUGAAAUGCGCAGAUAUCAGGAGGAACACCGGUGGCGAAGGCGGAUCUCUGGGCCAUUACUGACGCUGAGGAGCGAAAGCGUGGGGAGCGAACAGG
rnacentral:rRNA from 1 species